rnacentral:rRNA from 1 species
CGUGCCUAAUACAUGCAAGUCGAACGGUCUUUCUAUGGAAGCUUGCUUCCGCUGAGAAGAUAGUGGCGAACGGGUGAGUAACACGUGGGUAACCUGCCAUAAGAGGGGGAUAACAUCCGGAAACGGGUGCUAAUACCGCAUAGUUUUCUUGAUCGCAUGAUUGAGAAAGGAAAGACGGCCUUUGUGCUGUCGCUUAUGGAUGGACCCGCGGCGUAUUAGUUAGUUGGUGAGGUAACGGCUCACCAAGACGAUGAUACGUAGCCGACCUGAGAGGGUGAUCGGCCACAUUGGGACUGAGACACGGCCCAAACUCCUACGGGAGGCAGCAGUAGGGAAUCUUCCGCAAUGGACGAAAGUCUGACGGAGCAACGCCGCGUGAGUGAAGAAGGUUUUCGGAAUCGUAAAACUCUGUUGUCAGAGAAGGACAAGUUGGAGAGUAACUGCUCCAGCCUUGACGGUAUCUGACCAGAGAGCCACGGCUAACUACGUGCCAGCCGCUGC